CCUUCGUGUUGUUGGCGGCAGUCGUAAUCGCGCUGACGGCCGCGCUCGCAUGGAAGCUGGACCUCGGUUUUGGUUCAGUGAUGGCCAGAAGCCUUCCACCAUAUGCACCAGAUUUCAUGAACGCCAACCGGGAAUAUGGGAAACAGUCUUCUCGUCCUCAUCGAAUCGUCAUCAUCGGUUCCGGACCUACAGCUCUGGGUGCCGCUAAAAGACUCUACGAUCUCGGGCAAGGAAAAAACAACAGCGUGAUCACUAUCCUGGAAGAACUAGGCAAACCAGGAGGCCUAGCCUCGUCUGUCAGGGAUGAUAAAGGCUUUCUCUGGGAUGUCGGAGUUCAUGUCGUAUUCUCCCAUUACAGCUACUUUGAUCGAGUCCUGAACAUGGCAGUACCCGAGUGGAACUACCGGCGCAGGGCGUCAUUUGCCUUCAUGAAAGGAUCAGAUGACACGAGGAGGUUCAUUCCUUAUCCAGUUCAGAACAACAUUCACGUCAUGGAUAAAAUUGAUCAGCAGAAAAGCCUGAAAGGCUUAGAGGAGAUUACCAAAAAUCACAGCAGCCGUAAACCCGAAAAUUUCGACGAGUGGCUGCUGCAGAAAUUUGGAGAGGGUCUCGCUGACGUCUUUAUGAGGAAAUACAACCGAAAAAUCUGGACAGUUGACACCAAAGAAAUGAACUCGGCCUGGGUUGGAGAGAGGGUUGCCGUACCAGACAUUAAAGAGAUUAAGACCAAGAUUGCAGAGGUGGAUCACGGAAAAAACGCCAAGGAUUCCGAAUGGGGACCGAACCGUUUCUUUCGUUUCCCAAAAUAUAAUGGGACUGGCGGAAUUUGGGAGUCAGUUGCGAGAAUGCUUCCUAGCCACUGGUUCAGAUUUCACGAAAAGGUAACUGCAAUUGAUAUUGACCAAAAAAUCAUUACUGUCGAGGCUGGAACUGGCGUGAAGACAUCACAUUACUCAUUAGCAUACGAUACCCUUAUAUCGACGGCGCCCUUAGAUACCUUUACAUCAUUAUUGCAAAGCCACUAUGUUUCUCUAGGGAAGAUGCAAGAGCUAGCGACACAGCUAGUGUACACGCACACUCACAUCGUAGGCAUCGGCCUCACCGGUCAGCUGCCAAGGAUCCUCGCUGAUAAAUCUUGGGUGUAUUUCCCGGAUUCUGAUUCUCCUUUCUACCGCGUGACAAUGUUCUCCAAUUAUUCAGAUGACCAUGUACCAAAACCUGGAGCAUACUGGUCGCUUAUGUGCGAAAUAGCCGAACCACAGAAAAGUUCUAAUCCAGCGUAUUGGAGUAAGGAAAACCUGAUAAAAGAAUCCAUUCAAGCCUUAGUCUUGUACGGGUUUAUCACUGCUGAUAUGGUAGUCUCCAAGCACUACCGUCGCUUGGACCACGGAUACCCCGUCCCUUCACUUAAAAGGGAUUCGAUCCUUGACACGAUACAACCUUGGCUGAAAACCAAAGACAUCUACUCCCGUGGACGGUUCGGAGGUUGGAAAUACGAGGUUGCCAAUCAAGAUCAUUCCUUCAUGCAAGGGGUCGAGGCCGUGGACAAGUUCCUUAGCAACGUUCCGGAGUUAACUUACCCGGAUCCGAAUCGGGCCAACUCCAAGAAAAACAGGGAUCGCACCAUACCUUUGGAUUACGAAUUCGUCAUCGCACACUAUAACGAAAAUCUUAAUUGGAUGAAGCCUCACGCCAACCACACCCUCAUCUACCAUCAAGGGAACGACCUGGGUCCACCAUUCCAGUUCUACGGUUGGGAGCGGCUGGAAAAUGUUGGGCUCGAAGCUCACGCUUAUCUUGUUCACAUUACCACCUACUACGACCAACUCGCUAACGUCACUGUCUUUGCUCAGGGAGAUAAUAUGCGAGGAAAAUGCCACAAAGAUAUAACACGGUUUAUCGAUUCUGCCAAAAAAGGUGUCCCUUGCAUUUUAAAGGGAUAUAAUCGCUCAACCUGGGGGAAUCUCGCAUUCUCUCCUCGUUAUUUAGCUCAUUUUAAGACGCACAAAUUAGACAGAGCAAAAGGGACUUUAGGGCAGAUGUACCAAGAUCUGUACGAUAAGCAACAUCCCAAAGGAUUGCGGGAGUGCGGGAACGGCUGUUUUGGGGCUACCAAGCAAAUGAUCCUAAGACAUCCAGUAGAAUUCUAUCAGAAGGCUCUAACCUAUGUGAGCAAAUCUCCAAACCCGGAAGAGGCUCACUAUUUGGAGAUAUUGUGGUAUCACUUCUUCGAACAAGUUAAUGACAGUGUUGUUAAUUGACUCAAGUUGCUGACUCGGACUCGAGUCGGACUCGAGUUGCUAUUUUUUUGACUCGGCUUGACUUGACUUCGGAAAAAUGACUUAAGACUUGAAUUGACUUGAAAAAAAAUAUGACUUGAGACUUGAUUUGCUGAAAUUGGAAUUGGGACUUGACUUGACUUAGAAAAAAAUGACUUGGUUACAACACUGGUUAAUAAACCUACAUAGACGUCCACGACGCAACUAAAAAGGUAAAAAAAAAAACCAGCCUCUCUUCUCGUAGAAUAACUAACGUGAGCCUUAAUUAAAUUCCUCAAAGUCACUAGGUAAGGUUGAAUGUUUACUAGUUGAAAUUCAAUUCAAUUCAAAGCACAUUUAUUUCCUCUCCAUGACAGAAAUGAAAAUAAAAUAAGUAAUGAACCUUGAAAGCAUAGUUUGUAUCAGGCAUGCCAUUACACAAAAACAGGCGACAGAAAAACAAUUACACACAUGACAUUGUAUACUUCUAAAAGCAGUAAACAAAGUUUUGCUACGAGUAGGAUCGCCGUGCAUAAAAAGUCCAUGGGCAUAAACAUAUUACAUAUAAAAUAUAUUACGUUACAUAAGGUACAAUUUAAAUUUGCGAUAAAAAUAUUAUUUGACCUUGAACAUCUAAGAGAGAAUGGAAGAUUAUCCCAUAAUGUAGGUCCGGAGUACUUAAUGUUAUGUUGUAUUGAAAUACAGAUGUUCUAUGUUGCAGUAUGUGGAAAUGUAAGUUAUUAUAGACACACGAGUGUUAUAGUUAUAGAAAUUACAGUUAAGUACAAACAUAUUUAAAUAGGAAAUGGGCAGUAAAUUGUUUCUAUACUUGAACAUAAAUAGUGCUUGUUGGCAUUUAUUUAGGUUUUUAAUGCUUAAAUAUUUUAGCGUUAUUCCAAUUUGUGUUGUUUAAGUCGAUUAUAAACCUUUCCAAUCUAUUUGCACAUUUACCUUUUCUCCAGAUAUCAUCAAGUAGUCUUACCAAACCUCCAUCACAAGAAAGCAGAUUGUGAAAUGGCGCUAGUUAUUCUGAGGCAUAUCCCUGCGCUUUGUAUUUUGUUUGAUGUUUGUUUUGAGGGUAUGCACAUUUUAUUUUAUUGUUUCGAUUGCAUUUUUA